GAGGGUAUAGCUCAAGUGGUAGAGUGUGUGCUUAGCAUGCGUAAAGUCCUGGGUUCAGUCCCCCGUAUCUCCU
rfam:Camelus ferus unplaced genomic scaffold scaffold1052, whole genome shotgun sequence.